GGGGCUGGGGCUCAGUGGUAGAGCGCUUGCCUAGCAUGUGUGAGGCCCUGGGUUCGAUUCUCAGCACCA
rnacentral:tRNA from 1 species